rnacentral:sRNA from 1 species
UAAGCUUUACAUGUUUUGGUGCAUCUAG